GUGCCAGCAGCCGCGCGGUAAUACCCGCAGCUCAAGUGGUGGCCACUAUUAUUGAGCCUAAAACGUCCGUAGCCGGUUUUGUAAAUCUCUGGGUAAAUCCUGCCGCUCAACGGUAGGAAUUCUGGAGAGACUGCAAAACUAGGGAUCGGGUGAGGCGAGAGGUACUCCUGGGGUAGGGGUAAAAUCCUGUAAUCCUGGGGGGACGACCGGUGGCGAAAGCGUCUCGCUAGAACGACUCCGACGGUGAGGGACGAAGGCUAGGGGAGCAAACCGGAUUAGAUACCCGGGUAGUCCUAGCUGUAAACGCUGCCCACUUGGUGUUGCCCUUUCCUCGGGAAGGGGCAGUGCCGGAGCGAAGGUGUUAAGUGGGCUGCUUGGGGGGUAUGGUCGCAAGGCUGAAACUUAAAGGAAUUGGCGGGAGAGCACCGCAACGGGAGGAGCGUGCGGUUUAAUUGGAUUCAACGCCGGAAAACUCACCAGGGGAGACCAUGGGAUGAGUGUCAGCCUGAAGAGCUUACACGAUCACAUGGAGAGGUGGUGCAUGGCC
rnacentral:rRNA from 1 species